GAUGAACGCUGGCGGCGUGCCUAAUACAUGCAAGUCGAGCGAACGGACGAGAAGCUUGCUUUUCUGAUGUUAGCGGCGGACGGGUGAGUAACACGUGGAUAACCUACCUAUAAGACUGGGAUAACUUCGGGAAACCGGAGCUAAUACCGGAUAAUAUUUUGAACCGCAUGGUUCAUAAGUGAAAGACGGUCUUGCUGUCACUUAUAGAUGGAUCCGCGCUGCAUUAGCUAGUUGGUAAGGUAACGGCUUACCAAGGCAACGAUGCAUAGCCGACCUGAGAGGGUGAUCGGCCACACUGGAACUGAGACACGGUCCAGACUCCUACGGGAGGCAGCAGUAGGGAAUCUUCCGCAAUGGGCGAAAGCCUGACGGAGCAACGCCGCGUGAGUGAUGAAGGUCUUCGGAUCGUAAAACUCUGUUAUUAGGGAAGAACAUAUGUGUAAGUAACUGUGCACAUCUUGACGGUACCUAAUCAGAAAGCCACGGCUAACCACGUG
rnacentral:rRNA from 1 species